rnacentral:rRNA from 1 species
GAUGAACGCUGGCGGCGUGCCUAAUACAUGCAAGUCGAGCGAAGCGGGGACGGGGGAGUAACACGUGGAUAACCUCCUAUAAGACUGGGAUAACUUCGGGAAACCGGAGCUAAACCGGAUACGUAUAGAUGGAUCCGAGCUGAAUUAGCUAGUUGGGAAGGUAACGGCUUACCAAGGCAACGAUACAUAGCCGACCCGAGAGGGAGAUCGGCCACACUGGAUCUGAGACACGUCCCAGACUCCUACGGUGGGCAGCAGUAGGGAAUCUUCCGCGAUGGGCGAAAGCCUGACGGUGCAACGCCGCGUGAGUGAUGAAGGUCUUCGGAUCGUAAAACUCUGUUAUUAGUGAAGCGGUACCUAAUCAGUAAGCCCCGGCUAACUACGUGCCAGCAGCCGCGGUAAUUC